CCACCUCUAUAUUUUGGGAGUUAUAUUAUAGAAGUUUUUAAUAAUUACAUAUCUUUUUUCUCCUCCUUGGGUGGUCAACCUGUGAAGGAGACAUUCCCUCAUGCUCCCAGCCCCCCACCAGACCAUUUACAGCACCACUUGAGAGUUCUUAAGGUUUUAAAUGGCCUUUAGGUACCCUUGAGACCUGCCUGCUGAUUCUGAUGGGGGUUACUAUGUUGGCACAUAUACAGAGUGUGUUUUAUCCAUGACCAUUUUGUCUGAUCAAGAAAGUUAAGUGGAGUCAUGUUUGGGUCUUCUCUAGGAUUAGAUGACAGUAUAGGAGGACCAAGAGAUUUUCCCUGAGGCCGGACAGUCAUGAGUGGCAGGGUGUGUGGGACAGUAUGGGCAAGCAUCUAGUCCACUGGGCCCCUCCAGUGCUUUGAAAGACUUGGAGAUGGAAGACAGAUGUAUGGAGUCCCCAACGACAAGUUGCAGAAACUGCUUAAGGGGAGGGUGAAUUAUUUUGAGCCUGGUGGGCCCAUAACACUUCAGGCCAUUGGAGCAGAGAAGAGACUUCUGGAUGGACUCAUGACCAAGGGGUGGACUUAGCAUUGGAUACUAUUGCCCAGAUUAUUCAUGAGUGUUAAACAUGCUGCAAUUAAGCAUGCUAAGCCGUUAAAGCCUCUUUGGUAUGGAGGACGACAGCUGAAGUACAAAUAUGGGGAGGCCUGGCAGAUUGACUAGAUCACACUCUUUCUCCUGCUCUGAAAGACUGUUAGAAGAGAUGGAGUCCAACAUCAUGGACCGAAUGGACACAGCAGCUUUAUAGGGAUUUGUCCAUGCACUAAGGAAUGAUGUCUCUCUCUCUGUGAAUGUAUAUAUAUGUAUAUAUAUGAGAUAAGAGUGAUGGUAUAUUGAAAAUGUGGGAUCUGAGCAUGACGUGAAUGGUAUGGAAUAAGGGGUGGAUACUGUCCUGGGCUCAGCAGUAGCAGUCAUUUUUCUCCUUCUUGGUAGCUGCUGCAGAGCUGUGGCUUUGACUUUCGGCCUGGGAACAGCACUGAAAACACCAAUGUUUUUAGUUGUUGCUCAGUAAAAAAUUCUUCUGACCAAGGACUUUCUGAGUCUCAUGCUCUGCCAGGGAGGAGGGGAAGCCAGGAGGAAGCAGAGACAGGACACCUGACCCAAACUAGCUAAAGAGGUAUUCCAUACCACAGCACGUCAUGCCCAGGAUGUAAAA